GAUGAACGCUGGCGGCGUGCCUAAUACAUGCCAGUCGAGCGAACAGAUAAGGAGCUUGCUCCUUUGACGUUAGCGGCGGACGGGUGAGUAACACGUGGGUAACCUACCUAUAAGACUGGAAUAACUCCGGGAAACCGGGGCUAAUGCCGGAUAACAUUUAGAACCGCAUGGUUCUAAAGUGAAAGAUGGUUUUGCUAUCACUUAUAGAUGGACCCGCGCCGUAUUAGCUAGUUGGUAAGGUAACGGCUUACCAAGGCAACGAUACGUAGCCGACCUGAGAGGGUGAUCGGCCACACUGGAACUGGGACACGGUCCAGACUCCUACGGGAGGCAGCAGUAGGGAAUCUUCCGCAAUGGGCGAAAGCCUGACGGAGCAACGCCGCGUGAGUGAUGAAGGUCUUCGGAUCGUAAAACUCUGUUAUUAGGGAAGAACAAAUGUGUAAGUAACUGUGCACGUCUUGACGGUACCUAAUCAGAAAGCCACGGCUAACUACGUG
rnacentral:rRNA from 1 species